rnacentral:lncRNA from 1 species
CAGCAUUUCACUGUGAGGUCUACUACACCUGUUUUAUUCAGCAUUUCACUGUAAGGUCUACUACACCUGUUGUAUUCAGCAUUUCACUGUGAGGUCUACUACACCUGUUGUAUUCAGCAUUUCACUGUGAGGUCUACUACACCUGUUGUAUUCAGCAUUUCACUGUGAGGUCUACCUACACCUGUUGUAUUCUGCAUUUCACUGUAAGGUCUACUACACCUGUUGUAUUCAGCAUUUCACUGUGAGGUCUACCUACACCUGUUGUAUUCUGCAUUUCACUGUGAGGUCUACUACACCUGUUGUUAUUCAGCAUUUCACUGUGAGGUCUACUACACCUGUUAUAUUCAGCAUUUCACUGUGAGGUCUACUACACCUGUUGUAUUCAGCAUUUCACUGUAAGGUCUACUACACCUGUUGUAUUCAGCAUUUCACUGUGAGGUCUACACCUGUUUUAUUCAGCAUUUCACUGUAAGGUCUACUACACCUGUUGUAUUCAGCAUUUCACUGUGAGGUCUACUACACCUGUUGUAUUCAGCAUUUCACUGUAAGGUCUACUACACCUGUUGUAUUCAGCAUUUCACUGUGAGGUCUACACCUGUUUUAUUCAGCAUUUCACUGUAAGGUCU